CCUACGGGGGGCUGCAGUAAGGAAUAUUGGUCAAUGGACGCAAGUCUGAACCAGCCAUGCCGCGUGGAGGAUGAAGGUCCUCUGGAUUGUAAACUUCUUUUAUUUGGGAAGAAACCCACGAUUUCUAUUGUGGUUGACGGUACCAGAUGAAUAAGCACCGGCUAACUCCGUGCCAGCAGCCGCGGUAAUACGGAGGGUGCAAGCGUUAUCGGGAUUCACGGGGUUUAAAGGGUGCGUGGACGUGCGUGGUGAAAUCCCCGAGGUUAACUUGGGAGCUGCCGUUGAUACUAUCUGUCUUGAAUACUGUGGAGGUAAGCGGAAUAUGUCAUGUAGCGGUGAAAUGCUUAGAUAUGACAUAGAACACCUAUUGCGAAGUCAGCUUGCUACACAGUCAUUGACGCUGAGGCACGAAAGCGUGGGGAUCAAACAGGAUUAGAUACCCGUGUAGUC
rnacentral:rRNA from 1 species